rnacentral:tRNA from 1 species
GGCCAAGUGUGGCAUAGUGGUUUGAGUGUUGGACUAUGACUCUGAAGACCAGGGUUUAAUUCUCAGCUUUGCCC